rnacentral:rRNA from 1 species
AACGAACGCUGGCGGCAUGCCUAACACAUGCAAGUCGAACGAGACCUUCGGGUCUAGUGGCGCACGGGUGCGUAACGCGUGGGAACCUGCCCUUAGGUUCGGAAUAACUCCCCGAAAGGGGUGCUAAUACCGGAUAAUGUCUUCGGACCAAAGAUUUAUCGCCUUUGGAUGGGCCCGCGUUGGAUUAGCUAGUUGGUAGGGUAAAAGCCUACCAAGGCGACGAUCCAUAGCUGGUCUGAGAGGAUGAUCAGCGACACUGGGACUGAGACACGGCCCAGACUCCUACGGGAUGCAGCAGUGGGGAAUAUUGGACAAUGGGCGAAAGCCUGAUCCAGCAAUGCCGCGUGAGUGAUGAAGGCCUUAGGGUUGUAAAGCUCUUUUACCCGGGAUGAUAAUGACAGUACCGGGAGAAUAAGCUCCGGCUAACUCCGUG